CCGUGUCCGACCCCAUGUAACUCUCUGACUUGGGUCACACGGCCAACCACACGCUCGUGCAACCAGCCCGUGUGCCCUUAGAAAUGCCACACAUACCCAUGUUCCAGGCCAUGUGAUAGGCCAUGCCAAAACUGUAGGGUAUAUUGACUUAUGCUACACGGCCAAGUUACAUGCCAGUGUGCUGGGCCGUGUAGAGCAUACUGACUUGGUUUCUAAUUAAACACCAGGUGACACACGACCGUGUCACUUGACCGAGUGUCACAUACGGUUGAGACACAUGCCCGUGCGAC
rnacentral:lncRNA from 1 species